UAAAAUAAAGCAAAAUAGACUGGGCAAUUCAUUAGUUUUAAUAGAAGUGUAUACCUAUAGAACUCUACCACAAUUAAGAUAUAAAACAUUUCCAUCCCCCCCAAAAUAUUUCUUGUGCCCCCUUUGCCAUCCAUGCCCCCUUCCAGCGUGUCCCAGGGAACUACGGAUUGGCUUUUCACACUCUAGGUUAACUUGCUUUUUCUGUAAUUUUUUAUAACUGGAAUUGUAUGUUAUGUACUCUAUUUUGGUGGGCAGGGGCUGUCUGCCUUCUUUCACUCAGCAUGAUUUUCAGAUUUAUCUAUGUAGUUGCCUUUAACAGUAGUUCUUCCCAAGUAGCAUCCCAUUGUGUGGGUCUUUGUGUAUCCACUUUGUGUAUCACUUUGUGUGUACACACUUUUGUGUAUCACUUUGUGUAUCCAUUCUCCUGCAGAAGGAUGUUAGGUUGUUUCCAGUUUGGGGCAAUUGUGGUUAAAGCUGCCAUGACAAUUCACGCACACGUCUUGAACCCCUGCAUGGACUCUUCCAUGAGUUUUUCACUGAACUAUUUCAACUUCUUACUGAGUCGCUGUCUCUAGUCUUUCUCUGUGGCAAUACAGCCUACACACUGCUCCCAGAACGUUCUUCCAAGGGCACAGUUCUGAUGAUAUUACACCUUUACCGAUGUCUCACAGUCUAUAAGUGAAUCCAAACUCUUAAUUGCCACCAACAUCCAAAUAUCUAUCCCCAUCCCUCAUAACCUACCCUUGGCACUUUCCUGUGGCCACACCAAACCCUACUCCCCUCUGGAAGUGCCCUCCAUGAUCCCGGACACUUGGCCCUUCCCCCUCUCCUUCCCCCUUCCCCAUCGCUGUCCCUCUGAGGCACUGCAACCAUUUCAGGUGUGGAAGAAGGGCCUCCGCUUCCCUGAAAUUCAAAUUCACAUUGGCUGUCGAUCCCUCCUUUAAGUCUCCAACACUCUUUUGUGCUUCUCACGAAGCCACAGUUCUUCCAGGUGGCACCCUGCCUGUUGAGUAAACAUGUGAGUAAAUUUAUCACCUGUGUGCAGGACGUAGCCAAAUGUGGCUCAUCCCACAUCACUGGGAAACGAAACAAAACACUGAGUUAUCCAGGUAACUGAAGUGCAAUCCGCAUUGAAAAUACGAAACCUUUUAUGGAAAUAUUUCCAGAAUGAGUUACAAAUGCCUCUACCUUCUGAACCAGAUUUAGGUGAGCGUAAUUGAGACAUUGUAAUGGGUCAGGGUAAUCACUAUAAUCAUCAUUUAUAGAUUUGCGUUGUGGUACGGGGAUGUCCACGGGGCAGCUGUGUGCGGAAUUUUCGCCCCUUCACUAAAUGACCCCAUACGGCGAUCCUUUUGUACUUUUAUUUCCUUCCUCCAUUAGGCUGUCAUUUCUUACAGCACCGUGCCUCGUUACGGCCUUAUGUUACUCAUAAUUACCAAUGCGUGGCCUGCAGGGUAAAGAAAUAGGUUUUGUUCAACUGCAUAGACAUCACAUUCUUAAAGAUAGAGAUCAUGUGGUUGCAAUAAAAUCAUCCCAGGCACAAUCUAGAGAACGGCUCAUCCGUGAGAGCUGUUUGUUAGUUCAUGCAGAUUAGGUCCUGAGCAAAGGAAAGGCGGCCCAGAAAGAAGUGAAUUGGUGAUUUCUUGCUGUUUAGCUGCAGAACCGAGACCGGAAGCCAAGUUCGAGUGCUCACCACGGGACAUACUCUUUCCCUCACAAUUUGUUUUCAGAAAGUACGGAUGCGGGAUUCUUCUCUGGUUUACCCCACAUUUUGGGUGGCUGAGUUUCUGGAAGCAUAGCCAUCAGAUAAGUAUGAUUUGACCUUGUAAAUAUUUACACAUGUGGACCUCCUGGUCUUCCAAUGAACUUUUUUGGGCCAAUGAGAUUGAGGAUCAUGCCAGCAGCUGGCAAAGGGAGAAAGGGGGAGUUCCUUGGUGUGUAGGUGUCCCCAAAGGGGUCAGCUACUCAAUGUGCCAGAGCUUGGGCUAUCAGAUCGUAUGUGCUCUGCCCCCAAAGCUCCCCAUCAUCAUCUUCCACAUCGGUGCUUGUCUCUGGACACGUUUUCAGGUAACGAUGGUGAAGAUUCCAGUGAGGCCAAACCUUAUAAAGAGCUGUUCCCUACGUGCAGACACAGCCGGACUGCCUAUCCAACGUCCAUGGCCAUUUCUUUCUUACUUACGUAAUCCUAAUCUUAUUCAGGAUGCAGAGACAACUUAAAAUAUAUAAUCUCCCGGAUUUCCUUGCAUAAUGUGGGCAUGUGAUACAUUUCUGGCCAAUGAAUGGGCACGGCAAAACCUCGUGAACAUGCCAAAAAGUAUUUAGGGGGAAGUGUACCAAUGUCUGCAAUUUCCUUCGAAAUGCCCCAGUUAAUCAAGACUAGGAAUUGAUGGAUGGACAGAGAGAGGCCAGCAGGACAGCUCACGACAAAGCAAGUAUGGGAAAACGUUAAUGACAGAAUCUAGGUGUCUGGUAUACAAACGCCUCCUGUAACAUACUUUCCACUUCGCCAUAUGUUUAAAAACUUCUUUUCAGAAUAAGAUGUUGGGAAACAAACGUCCUGUGGAGAAGGCGUCUGGCUCUUAGCUUUUCAUCUUUCUCCUUCUUUGUCCCGGACCAAAUGCAAAAAGGGCCGAGUCGUCUUACGAAAGCUCUGGAGAGUGAGCGGCCCACAGGACCUGAGAGCAGGCCGACAGAGCAGGAGCCUUCCUGACUGUAUGUCCUCACUGGGUGCCCCUGUCCUGUGACCCACACGGUCCUGUACAGUCUCCAUCAGAAGCCUUGGAAUAUUCUGCUGUGAUUCCUUACCUGUGUCUGUCUCCCCCACUGGACUAUAAGCUCUGUGGGGGCAGAACUGCACCUCUGUGUUGUCCGCGGCUGUAUCUCCAGCUCCUGGUUCUGGGCAGGGCGCCCAGGCAGAGCUGUGUGGAUGCGUGUUGAAAGCCAGCAGGAAUUACUACGCCAUCCAAACUUGCACACAGGAAUGUUCAACCCUCAUGACUGAAGCUGACGAGGGGUUUGCAAAUCUGAGUUCAAACACCCAAGAGUUGAUGAAACAUAAGCAAUGCUCAACCGGCCGUGAACGAAAAACGCUGAACCUUCCAUGCUUUUCUGAGCAGGCAGAACACACAGUCUGCCUUAAACGUGGUCUCCUCUGAAGAACUCCCAAGCAGACAGUGAGUGUCAUUGGAAUCCGGAAGGUAGGCUGGGCUCUGUCCUUUGGGGGAGGCGAAUUUUUAUUCUGUAGAGAAAGUUCUGCUCCUUGUCAUAAUGAAGUCCACUGGGGAGCUGCCCAUGUGUACCCGUUGGCAAGGCAUGUACUUGCAAUGGAAAACAAUGAAGUUUCCAGGAAGCACUGUCCACAAAUGUGCUCAUUUGUGCAAGAGCUGAUCCACAUGAGGGCUAACGGAUCUACGUGGUGUGGUUGGACCAGCUCGGAAAUCAUCAACCCUGUGUGGGUUUUCCUUGCACGACCGCAGGAGGAAGCAAGCAUCGGGAGCUUGGCUCUAUGAGAGGCUCUAAUAGCAGGCUUGAACAGUUUCUGGGCGGGUCAAAUAGACUUGAGCAUAUAGAGCGAUAGGUGGAGAUAGGCUGGGCUGCUUUGUGUUCAGGUUGUAUACCCAUUCUUCCUGAUUCCCUUCUUGAUCUCACACCAUCCCUUUAUUUAUUUUUAAAUUUUUAAAAUGUUUUUAUUUAUUUUUGAAGGAGAGAGAGAAA